GAUGAACGCUGGCGGCGUGCCUAAUACAUGCAAGUCGAGCGAACGGACGAGAAGCUUGCUUCUCUGAUGUUAGCGGCGGACGGGUGAGUAACACGUGGAUAACCUACCUAUAAGACUAGGAUAACUUCGGGAAACCGGAGCUAAUACCGGAUGAUAUUUUGAACCGCAUGGUUCAAAAGUGAAAGACGGUCUUGCUGUCACUUAUAGAUGGAUCCGCGCUGCAUUAGCUAGUUGGUAAGGUAACGGCUUACCAAGGCAACGAUGCAUAGCCGACCUGAGAGGGUGAUCGGCCACACUGGAACUGAGACACGGUCCAGACUCCUACGGGAGGCAGCAGUAGGGAAUCUUCCGCAAUGGGCGAAAGCCUGACGGAGCAACGCCGCGUGAGUGAUGAAGGCCUUCGGAUCGUAAAACUCUGUUAUUAGGGAAGAACAUAUGUGUAAGUAACUGUGCACAUCUUGACGGUACCUAAUCAGAAAGCCACGGCUAACUACGUG
rnacentral:rRNA from 1 species